AGCUCGAGUCUCAGGAUGGUGCGCCCCAGGAAACACUGAUCCCGGAUGAGCCCCCAAAUGAAAGAUCCCCGAAGAGAGACCCUUUCUAAAGUCGCGGGAAAUCGCGGACCCCAGACACACAGAGACCA
rnacentral:pre_miRNA from 14 species